GCCCUUAUAGCUCAGUGGUAGAGCGCGACACUCGUAUCACGUGACUCUCCAUGUGAGGAAUGUCGAGGUCCAUCGUUCAAUCCGGUGUGGGGGCA